AUGGAUUCUCAACAUUCAUUCACACCAUUGCCGGAUUAUCCAUUCAAGCCACCAAAGGUUGCAUUUAGGACUAAGGUAUUCCACCCAAACAUCAACAGCAAUGGAAGCAUCUGUCUUGACAUUCUAAAAGAACAAUGGAGCCCAGCAUUGGCCAUUUCUAAGGUCCUUUUGUCAAUUUGCUCGUUGCUGACGGAUCCAAAUCCCGACGACCCUAAACCCUAA